rnacentral:rRNA from 1 species
UACGAGCGGCCCAAACGUUAUUCGGAAUUACUGGGCUUAAAGAGUUCGUAGGCGGCAUGAAAAGCAGGGUGUGAAAGCCCUCGGCUCAACCGAGGAAUUGCGCUCUGAACUGUCGUGCUUGAGGAACCUAGAGGUGAGCAGAACUGAUGGUGGAGCGGUGAAAUGCGUUGAUAUCAUCAGGAAUACCGGAGGCGAAGGCGGCUCACUGGGGGUUUUCUGACGCUGAGGAACGAAAGCCAGGGGAGCGAACGGG